GGGAAGGUGGCUCAAUGGUAGAGUGCUUGCCUUGCAUGCAUGAGGUGCUGGGUUCGAUCCCUCAGUACCG
rnacentral:tRNA from 1 species